GAUGAACGCUGGCGGCGUGCCUAAUACAUGCAAGUCGAGCGAACGGACGAGAAGUUUUCUCCUCUGAUGUUAGCGGCGGACGGGAGAGUAACACGUGGAUAACCUACCUAUAAGACUGGGAUACCAUCGGGAAACCGGAGCUAAUACCGGAUAAUAUUUUGAACCUCAUGGUUCAAGAGUUAAAGUCGGUCUUGCUGACACUUAUAGAUUGAUCCGGCCUUCAUUAGUUAGUUGGUAAGGUAACGGCUUAGCAAGGCAACGAUGCAUAGCCGACCUGAGAGGGUGAUCGGACACACGGGAUGAGAGAAACGGCCCAGACACUUAGGGGGGGACGCAGUCGAGAAUCUUCCGGGAGGGAGGAGUGCGGAAUGGAGCAACGCCGGCUAAGUGAUGAAGCAGCUAGGAUGGGAAAGCGAUGUUAUCAGGAGGGAUCAAAAGUUUAUGUACCCGUGAAGAUAUUGACGGUACCUGGAGAAAAAGCCACGGCUAACUACGUG
rnacentral:rRNA from 1 species